UCCACAGUUCGGAGGGCCACCGCAGAGCACAGAGCUGGGACAUGGAGUGGUUUCUGAUCGUUGGCGUUUGCGUGACGUUCGUCGUUUCCAGUGGAGCUCAGAACACCACAAGUGUGACCCCCAGUUCCUCCUACCUUAUUUCAGGGCCCCAGGUGCUGCACCCUGGACUCCCCACCUCCCUGUCCGUCACUGUUCUCAUUGACAUGCCUGUCAAUGUCACUGCAGAGAUCAUCAGCGACAACUCCAGCCUGGUCAGGACAAGGGGAACUUUCCAAGGAGGUCUGACUGGACUACUGAUUCUCCCA